rnacentral:tRNA from 1 species
GGCUGAGUGGUUAAGUUGUUGUACCAGAAAUCUGUUGGAUUUCCCUGUACAGGCUCAAACCCUGCUCGCAGCCA